rfam:Pseudomonas syringae pv. spinaceae strain ICMP16929 PspICMP16929_Contig_569, whole genome shotgun sequence.
CGCGGGGUGGAGCAGUUUGGUAGCUCGUCGGGCUCAUAACCCGAAGGUCGUUGGUUCAAAUCCAGCCCCCGCAA